GGAAUAUCCAUACCAAAGAUGAAAUCACUGCGCCAAAAGUAAACUCAUGGCAGCUGCUUAAAAGGAGAACAAAUCAACAAUAUAUCUUUUUCACUACUCUUCUAUCUGUGUUAACCGAUUCCUUGAAAAGAGGCAUCUGCAAAUCAAGCGCAGCAUUUCUCCCCUUUUUACCAGGAUUUUGAAUGGAGAAUACGGAUGGUUCGCCGGAGGGUCCACCAGUUGUAUUACCAAGAGUCAAACUCAGUGACGGCAGACAUAUAGCUUACACAGAGAGAGGUGUGCCCAAGGCCGAAUCAAACUGCAGGAUCAUCAUUGUUCAUGGCUUUGGAAGCUCCAAAGACAUGAAGUUUCAAGUUCCCCAAGAACUAAUAGAAGAAUUGGUAAUAUAUUUUCUGCUAUAUGAUCGAGCUGGGUAUGGCGAAAGUGAUCCGAAUCCGAAGCGUUCGUGAUAAGUG